AAUGCCCAACAACUUCGCGUUAUUUCUGAAAACUUCAUAUCUAUUUUCUUUUAGGUCGAGCUUCAUUGGAACCAAAUGGUGGCUCAUCCAUCUAUUACUAAAGCUAUACAGCAGGUGGACAAGCCAUCAUCAUGUUCCUGUGAAGCUCGAUCUAAAAGACUACAGAUUUGAGAUUUUCAAAAAUAACAUGAAGUACAUUCUCCAC